rnacentral:lncRNA from 1 species
UAUGAGCUAGCAUAUGUGAUAAGAUAUGUGAUGAGCUAGUGUAUGUGAUAAAAUAUGUGAUGAACUAACAUAUGUGAGGAAAUAAAUGAUGAACUAAUAUAUGGAUGAGAUAUCGGUAAGUCGUACAAGUCACCCUAGGUGACUCCAACUUGCGUACUAGUGUGAGUUAUUAAUCACAUGAUUAUUUGAUAUUACUGAUGAGAUGUUAUGUUGUGGUAUAUUAUGAUUUUCUGGAAAGUAUACAUGUGUUGCAGCGAGGGGUUAUAAUGUUUUAUAUGGUUUCUAUUAAAAUCUUAGUUACAAGGCCACUCACCCUUGUCUUGUCUUCACCCUCCAGGUUUUAUCAGCUGAGCUUUCUUAUCGUCGAAGAUUUGUGGUGAUUCUUAGUAUUGGAGAUUAUUUCGAGGGUACGAUUCUUAAUUCACUAUUUUGUACUUACUUAUGCUCUAACAUCACGCGUGAAGUGGGUUUAUUCCCGCUCACCAGUGCACUCUGGCAUUUAGGCACUCUUAGGUUUAAAUUUAUUCACAAUUUUUCCACAUCAUCAAACUUUAUGACUUUGUCACCUUCCAGGUGUUGGCCAGCACAGCUCGAUUCGGAGUCCUAGUGGACAUUCCGGGUCGGGGUGUGUCAUGUGAACAUUUUUCAAAACCACAAAAAAAAAGAUAUUAAUUAAAUUUGAUAUGGAUACAUUAUCAAAUCAACAAAAUAGAAUGUAGCGAUAUAAGUUUAAAAAUAGAUU